AUUGAACGCUGGCGGCAGGCCUAACACAUGCAAGUCGAACGAGUGGCGGACGGGUGAGUAAUUUCUGGGAAACUGCCUGAUGGAGGGGGAUAACUACUGGAAACGGUCGCUAAUACCGCAUACCAUCAGAUGUGCCAAGAUGGGCUUAGCUUGUUGGGGGGGUAACGGCUCACCAUGGCGACGAUACCUAGCUGGGCUGAGAGGAUGACCGGCAACACUGGAACUGGGACAGGGUCCAGAUGCCUACGGGAGGCAGCAGUGGGGAAUAUUGCACAAUGGGCGCAAGCCGGAUGCAUCCAUGCCGCGUGUAUGAAGAAGGCCUUCGGGUUGUAAAGUACUUUCAGCGGGGAGGCGUUACCCGCAGAAGAAGCACCGGCUAACUCCGUGCCAGCCGCCGCGUAAUUC
rnacentral:rRNA from 1 species